rnacentral:rRNA from 1 species
GACGAACGCUGGCGGCGUGCUUAACACAUGCAAGUCGAACGGAAAGGCCCUGCUUUUGUGGGGUGCUCGAGUGGCGAACGGGUGAGUAACACGUGAGUAACCUGCCCUUGACUUUGGGAUAACUUCAGGUAACUGGGGCUAAUACCGGAUAGGAGCUCCUGCUGCAUGGUGGGGGUUGGAAAGUUUCGGCGGUUGGGGAUGGACUCGCGGCUUAUCAGCUUGUUGGUGGGGUAGUGGCUUACCAAGGCGUUGACGGGUAGCCGGCCUGAGAGGGUGACCGGCCACAUUGGGACUGAGAUACGGCCCAGACUCCUACGGGAGGCAGCAGUGGGGAAUAUUGCACAAUGGGCGGAAGCCUGAUGCAGCAACGCCGCGUGCGGGAUGACGGCCUUCGGGUUGUAAACCGCUUUCGCCUGUGACGAAGCGUGAGUGACGGUAAUGGGUAAAGAAGCACCGGCUAACUACGUG